rnacentral:rRNA from 1 species
GACGUAGGGCGCGAGCGUUGUCCGGAUUUAUUGGGCGUAAAGAGCUUGUAGGCGGUUUGUCGCGUCUGCCGUGAAAAUCCGAGGCUCAACCUCGGACUUGCGGUGGGUACGGGCAGACUAGAGUGUGGUAGGGGAGACUGGAAUUCCUGGUGUAGCGGUGAAAUGCGCAGAUAUCAGGAGGAACACCGAUGGCGAAGGCAGGUCUCUGGGCCACUACUGACGCUGAGAAGCGAAAGCAUGGGAGCGAACAGG